rnacentral:rRNA from 1 species
UCAGGACGAACGCUGGCGGCGUGCCUAAUACAUGCAAGUCGAACGGUCUUUCUAUGGAAGCUUGCUUCCACUGAGAAGAUAGUGGCGAACGGGUGAGUAACACGUGGGUAACCUGCCCAUAAGAGGGGGAUAACAUCCGGAAACGGGUGCUAAUACCGCAUAGUUUUCUUGAUCGCAUGAUCGGGAAAGGAAAGACGGCCUUUGUGCUGUCGCUUAUGGAUGGACCCGCGGCGUAUUAGUUAGUUGGUGAGGUAACGGCUCACCAAGACGAUGAUACGUAGCCGACCUGAGAGGGUGAUCGGCCACAUUGGGACUGAGACACGGCCCAAACUCCUACGGGAGGCAGCAGUAGGGAAUCUUCCGCAAUGGACGAAAGUCUGACGGAGCAACGCCGCGUGAGUGAAGAAAAGGUUUUCGGAUCGUAAAACUCUGUUGUCAGAGAAGAACAAGUUGGAGAGUAACUGCUCCAGCCUUGACGGUAUCUGACCAGAAAGCCACGGCUAACUACGUGCCAGCCGCAGC